UCCAGAGGUCCCAAGCGUUGUUCGGAUUCACUGGGCGUAAAGGGUGCGUAGGUGGUGGGGUAAGUCGGAUGUGAAAUCUCCGAGCUCAACUCGGAAAAUGCAUUGGAAACUACCUUGCUCGAGGGUUGGAGGGGGGACUGGAAUGCUUGGUGUAGCAGUGAAAUGCGUAGAUAUCAAGCGGAACACCAGUGGCGAAGGCGAGUCCCUGGACAACUCCUGACACUGAGGCACGAAAGCUAGGGGAGCAAACAGG
rnacentral:rRNA from 1 species